rnacentral:lncRNA from 1 species
UUUUUUACGAUGGAUAAUUCCUUAUUUUUCAUUGACGUAUUCUAUUUGAAUCUUGAUACGAUGAAUUUGUAUGAUGUUCAUGUAAAUCAUAAAGAGAAAAAUGAAAAUACGAUAUUAUUGAAGCAUGUUACAUUGAUCGAUAACAAUAAGAGGCACGUAUACAUAUAUGCGUGGUAGGUACUCUAUAGAGUGAGACAUAUACUCUAUAGUUACUUAUUUCAUAAUUUCAUGCAUGCAUAGAUAGAUAGAUAGAUAGAUAUAGAGCAGCUAUGCAUAGCUUGCCAUCUUACGUGGCAGUGGCAGGGAGUAAGAAUCGCAACAAACUUUAAGGAAGAAAACAAGGCAAUAGGUAUCGCAUUUGCCAAGUUCUGAUCCUGAUGAUCCCAACACAUGAUAAUAUCCACUUGCAGUUGCAGGGAUUAUUUCCACUACUUUUGUUGCAUCACUAGCACUAGUAGCUGCAGCAUAGGUGAAAAGCAAGCACACCAUCAACACAAACACCUUGCUAUUCAUCUUUAAUAAAAACAGCCUAUUCAAAUGUAUAUAUGUGUAUGUUUG